GAAGCCACAUAAAAAGACUAUGGACUAUGUACAGAGUGACUGGGUGCACCAACUGGGCCAAUGGGGGUUCCCUGGCUCGACGCAUGGAACCCGUCACAGGUCACAAAGCACUUUCCGAGGCUGUCUCCCACACCUGAAGAUUCUACGUAUCGUCUUUGCAUGCCAGUAAUACCACACUUCCCUUUGGGGGCUCCAUCAAUUCAACCUGAGACAACAACAUGCUGAGGCAUUUGUCACCCAAG